AGGAGCUCACAGGACUCAGGAGAGGAGACUGUACAGGCCACUCAGGUGGACUCUGAGGACUCUCAGGAGAACUCUGAAGACUCAAUGAAGUGGAGGAGACGAAGGUGCUCACAGGACUCUGGAGAGGAGACUGGGCAGGCCCCUCAGGAGGACUCUGGGGAUACUCAGGGCAACUCAGGGGAAGACUCAGUGAAGUGGAGGAGGAGCUCACAGGACUCAGGAGAGGAGACUGUACAGGCCCCACAGGUGGACUCUGAGGACUCUCAGGAGGACUCUGAAGACUCAAUGAAGUGGAGGAGACGAAGGUGCUCACAGGACUCUGGAGAGGAGACUGGGCGGGCCCCUCAGGAGGACUCUGGGGAUACUCAGGGGAACUCAGGGGAAGACUCAGUGAAGUGGAGGAGGAGCUCACAGGACUCAGGAGAGGAGACUGCACAGGCCCUACAGGUGGACUCUGAGGACUCUCAGGAGGACUCUCAGGAGGACUCUGAAGACUCAAUGAAGUCGAGGAGACGAAGGUGCUCACAGGACUCUGGAGAGGAGACUGGGCAGGCCCCUCAGGAGGAAUCUUGGGAUACUCAGGGGACCUUAGGGGAAGACUCAGUGAAGUGGAGGAGGAGCGCACAGGACUCAGGAGAGGAGACUGUACAGGCCCCUCAGGUGGACUCUGAGGACUCUCAGGAGGACUCUCAGGAGCACUCUGAAGACUCAAUGAAGUGGAGGAGACGAAGGGGCUUACAGGACUCUGGAGAGGAGACUGGUCAGGCCCCUCCGGUGGACUCUGAGGAUUCUCAGGAGAACUCUGGAGAAGACUCGGCAUCCCAGCAGCAGGCAUCUCCUUGUCUGCUUGAACAUCCAAAAUCAGAGAAAAAAAUGAGAAUGAGGAGAAGGAAGAAGAUGAGGAGGAGGAGGAGGAGGAAGAGGAGGAGAAUUAAAUGUAGAAAGAGGAAGAGAAAAUGGAGGAGGUUUCCUCCUGUUCCUCGUCUCUGGGAUCCUGUGAAUCUACCAACUCCAGUAUUAAAAUUGGGCUCUGGAAGUCUUGCUCAAAGCUGGG
rnacentral:lncRNA from 13 species